rnacentral:tRNA from 1 species
GGACAGAUAGCUCAGUUGGUAGAGCAAUGGACUGAAAAUCCAUGUGUCGCCGGUUCGAUCCCGGCUCUGUCCA